rnacentral:lncRNA from 1 species
UGUUUGUCUAUUUACUCUGAGUAGUCAGGUCCAGACCAUGUGUUGUGUGUUGUUAUAUUUGUUUGUCUAUUUACUCUGAGUAGUCAGGUCCAGACCAUGUGUUGUGUGUUGUUGUAUUUGUUUGUCUAUUUACUCUGAGUAGUCAGGUCCAGACCAUGUGUUGUGUGUUGUUAUAUUUGUUUGUAGUCAGGUCCAGACCAUGUGUUGUGUGUUGUUAUAUUUGUUUGUCUAUUUACUCUGAGUAGUCAGGUCAGGUCCAGAUCAUGUGUUGUGUGUUGUUAUAUUUGUUUGUCUAUUUACUCUGAGUAGUCAGGUCCAGACCAUGUGUUGUUAGUUGUUGUAUUUGUAUUGUCUAUUUACUCUGAGUAGUCAGGUCCAGACCAUGUGUUGUUUGUUGAUAUAUUUGUUUGUCUAUUUACUCUGAAUAGUCAGGUCAGGUCCAGACCAUGUGUUGUGUGUUGUUAUAUUUGUUUGUCUAUUUACUCUGAGUAGUCAGGUCAGGUCUAGACCAUGUGUUGUGUGUUGUCAUAUUUGUUUGUCUAUUUACUCUGAGUAGUCAGGUCCAGACCAUGUGUUGUGUGUUGUGAUAUUUGUUUGUCUAUUUACUCUGAGUAGUCAGGUCAGGUCCAGACCAUGUGUUGUUAUAUUUGUUUGUCUAUUUACUCUGAGUAGUCAGGUCCAGACCAUGUGUUGUUAGUUGUUGUAUUUGUUUGUCUAUUUACUCUGAGUAGUCAGGUCCAGACCAUGUGUUGUUAGUUGUUGUAUUUGUUUGUCUAUUUACUCUGAGUAGUCAGGUCCAGACCAUGUGUUGUUAGUUGUUGUAUUUGUUUGUCUAUUUACUCUGAGUAGUCAGGUCAGGUCCAGACCAUGUGUUGUUUGUUGUUGUAUUUGUUUGUCUAUUUACUCUGAGUAGUCAGGUCCAGACCGUGUGUUGUGUGUUGUUAUAUUUGUUUGUCUAUUUACUCUGAGUAGUCAUGUCAGGUCCAGACCAUGUGUUGUUAUAUUUGUUUGUCUAUUUACUCUGAGUAGUCAGGUCCAGACAAUGUGUUGUUAGUUGUUAUUUGUUUGUCUAUUUACUCUGAGUAGUCAGGUCCAGACCAUGUGUUGUUUGUUGUUAUAUUUGUUUGUCUAUUUACUCUGAGUAGUCAGGUCCAGACCAUGUGUUGUGUGUUGUUAUAUUUGUUUGUCUAUUUACUCUGAGUAGUCAGGUCCAGAUCAUGUGUUGUGUGUUGUUAUAUUUGUUUGUCUAUUUACUCUGAGUAGUCAGGUCCAGACCAUGUGUUGUCAUGUUUGUUUGUCUAUUUACUCUGAGUAGUCCGGUGAGGUCCAGACCAUGUGUUGUGUGUUGUUAUAUUUGUUUGUCUAUUUACUCUGAGUAGUCAGGUCCAGACCAUGUGUUGUAUGUUGUUAUAUUUGUUUGUCUAUUUACUCUGAGUAGUCAGGUCCAGACCAUGUGUUGUGUGUUGUUAUAUUUGUUUGUCUAUUUACUCUGAGUAGUCAGGUCCAGACCAUGUGUUGUUUGUUGUUAUAUUUGUUUGUCUAUUUACUCUGAGUAGUCAGGUCCAGACCAUGUGUUGUUAGUUAUUGUAUUUGUUGUCUAUUUACUAUGAGUAGUCAGGUCCAGACCAUGUGUUGUGUGUUGUUUUAUUUGUUUGUCUAUUUACUCUGAGUAGUCAGGUCAGGUUCAGACCAUGUGUUG